rnacentral:rRNA from 1 species
UGGGGAAUUUUGGACAAUGGGCGCAAGCCUGAUCCAGCCAUGCCGCGUGCGGGAAGAAGGCCUUCGGGUUGUAAACCGCUUUUGUCAGGGAAGAAAUCUUCUGAGUUAAUACCUCGGGAGGAUGACGGUACCUGAAGAAUAAGCACCGGCUAACUACGUGCCAGCAGCCGCGGUAAUACGUAGGGUGCAAGCGUUAAUCGGAAUACUGGGCGUAAAGCGUGCGCAGGCGGUUUUGUAAGACAGAGGUGAAAUCCCGGGCUCAACCUGGGAACUGCCUUUGUGACUGCAAGGCUUGAGUGCGGCAGAGGGGGGAUGGAAUUCCGCGUGUAGCAGUGAAAUGCGUAGAUAUGCGGAGGAACACCGAUGGCGAAGGCAAUCCCCUGGGCCUGCACUGA